GGGAGUUAUUUGAAUGCCUGCGCGGUAACGACUCCUUAGGGGCCUGGGGCCCUCUGACAAGAAGCCUGAGGAGACGCCGCGGAGAGCUCUGCCUCUGGAUUGGUGGGCAGGUUGGCUGUAGCUGAACGCCGACAGGGCUUGUCCGGACAGAGUCCCAGAGCCAUGGGAGCGUAAAGAGACUGCUGCGGAUUAAGGAGGCCUUUCGGCUGGCGCAGCAGCCGCACCACAACCAGGCGAAGCUGGUGGUGGCGCUGAAUCGCUCCUGCGGCGGGGUAAGCGCUCCCGGCCCGCGCCCACCCCAUCCCGGAGCUGGCGGGGCCAGGACGCUGGUUCCUACACUCCAAGGGGUAACUGUCAGAUUCUGAAAAGAAUUAAAGAGUUGCUGGAUCCAAGAGGAAAUGUGUUUGCAAAUAUGAUAGAUAUUUACAAUUGCCCUUCAUGGAGUGAUCCGUUCCUGAUCGGCAGAGAAGAGCAUGAGAGUACUGUGGUAAACAGCAAUGAAGUUUUUGAUGUGCCAAAUUCUGACGAUGGAGUUUUGCUCUUGUUGCCCACGCUGGAGUGCAAUGGCAUGAUCUCGACUUACCGCAACCUCCAGCUCCCGAGUUCAAGUGAUUCUCCUGCUACAACCUCCCGAGUAGCUGGGAUUACAGGCGCCCGCCACCACGCCUGGCUAAUUUUGUAUUUUUAGUAGAGAUGGGGUUUCUCCAUGUUGGUCAGGCUAGUCUCGAACUCUCGACCUCAGGCGAUCUGCCCACCUUGGCCUCCCAAAGUGCUGGGAUUAUAGGUGUGAUAAAUUGACCAUCUUAUACCAGGAAAUCAAAUGAGAAGACAUCAGUAAAAAUAUUCUGGCCAACUCAUGUUUUAUUUAUCAUAUCCUCUUCAUUAAUUGCUUCUCAUAAUGCCACAGUUUGUCAUGGUAUUUGUGGCAGCAGGCAAAGUCCUUGCUUAGACUUUGAUUAAAUUACUGUGGCAUUUUUCUAUUAAAAAGAUAUCGUGGUUUCAAUCUAUAAUUUGCCUGUGAUCUGCGGGUUAAAAAAAAGAGCACUAUACUAUUCCAUUUGAUUCAGUGUUUUCAGAUAAUACAUCAUUUUGCUUAGUCUCAUUUGGAUGAAAUGAAUAUUUCCAGAUCUACAUGUCAAAUAAGAGGAUACUACAACUUAGUAUGUAACUCCUAAAAAAUAGAAAUUAUUUAAUAUGAGUUAAACUUCAAUUUUAACAGAUGUUGAGUGCCUAUAUCAUAUGCCAAGCAUUGGACUAGGUACUUGUACAUGUUUUCUCAUGGACUGCCAUCAAGGUUAAAGAGGUUGCCCAUGAUCAUGUGACUGUUUAGUGAAAGAGCCAAGAACCUAAGUACUACGACAUGUAUCCAGGUGCCCUUUGCACUGUCCCAUGUUUCAAAUCAUUAAAGGUGGGAUGCGAUUUUCAAGAUUAUUUAAUAGCUGUAAUUUGUAAUGGGUACAAAUAUGGUUUAUAAUGUUAACAUUAAACUAGAAACUAUGCAACAUUUAGUAAUUUUUAAAUUAUGAUUAUUUUGAUUGAUAAUUUAUAAUUGUAUACAUUUAUAAGAUACAAUGUGAUGUUUUGAUAUAUGUCUACAAUGUGGAAUGAUUACAUCAAGCUAAUUAACACAU
rnacentral:lncRNA from 1 species